rfam:Hordeum vulgare subsp. vulgare, WGS project CAJW01000000 data, contig: morex_contig_136849
UAUGUACUCUCUCCGUACUAAAAUUCUCGUCUAAAGUUUGUCUAAAAAUGAAUGUAUCUAAAUACUAAAAAUUACUAGAUACAUUUAUAUCUAAAAAAAUGUAAGACAAUAAUUUUGGGACGAAGGGAGUACAAA